AGCGAAGAGAACAUUCAGGAGAGAGCAGAGGGAAGAAGGAAAGGUAAAUGUUUCCCUUCUUGACAAAGCAAUCACUCUGCGGCUGGGCCACAGUUCCCUGACCAGUGAGGAGCCCAGGUGAGUCCUCAUCGGCUCAGAAAUGGUGAGCAGUUCUUUCCAGCCCUGACCUCCCGAGCCCAGGAAGCCUUCUUGCUUUUCCUCUUUAGGUGAACAUAGCCCUUUUGGGUUGAGAAAAGAGCAGGAGAUGGCCAGGCACAAAAAGUUAUUCUCUAAAGAUCUUGCCUAGGAAGAGAGAAAUCAAAGCUAAACCCAGGCUCUGUAUCAGAUCAGGGACCAACUCUCAUCUCAGCUGUCGACGCUGCUGUGGUUCCAGGCCUCUUGGAUGAACUGGUUGGGCUGCCUGAGCAGUUUAUUUCUAAAGGGUAUAGGAGCCUCUGGGAUAGAACUCAUUACAGGGGGAGAGCGAGGCAUAGUGGGCCUCGCCAACAGUGAAGCGUCAGGUGUCGGAGGCAAGCUGCGAUUCUGACUUCAGUGUGGUUGCAUCUGUUCUCCAUCUGGUCCCUUGGAGACCUCAUCU
rnacentral:lncRNA from 10 species